GGGAUAUUGCACAAUGGGGGAAACCCUGAUGCAGCGACGCCGCGUGGAGGAAGAAGUAUUUCGGUAUGUAAACUCCUAUCAGCAGGGAAGAAAACGACGGUACCUGACUAAGAAGCCCCGGCUAACUACGUGCCAGCAGCCGCGGUAAUACGUAGGGGGCAAGCGUUAUCCGGAUUCACUGGGUGUAAAGGGAGCGUAGACGGAAGUGCAAGCCAGAUGUGAAAAUCCGGGGCUCAACCCCGGACCUGCAUUUGGAACUGUAUUUCUAGAGUACCGGGUGGGCAGGCGGAAUUCCUGGUGUAGCGGUGAAAUGCGUAGAUAUCAGGAGGAACACCGGUGGCGAAGGCGGCCUGCUGGACGGAUACUGACGUUGAGGCUCGAAAGCGUGGGGAGCAAACA
rnacentral:rRNA from 1 species